AUACGGAGGGUGCAAGCGUUACUCGGAAUUACUGGGCGUAAAGGGCGCGUAGGCGGUUUGAUAAGUCAGAUGUGAAAGCCCGAGGCUUAACCUCGGAAGUGCAUUUGAAACUGUCAAACUUGAGUAUGGGAGAGGGAAGUGGAAUUCCUGGUGUAGAGGUGAAAUUCGUAGAUAUCAGGAGGAACACCGGUGGCGAAGGCGACUUCCUGGACCAAUACUGACGCUGAGGCGCGAAGGCGUGGGGAGCAAACAGGAUUAGAAACCCGGGUAGUCC
rnacentral:rRNA from 1 species